UGUAUGAGAGGCCUUAACCCUCUCGGAAGCAUAAAGAAAAACACUGCCUAUUCGGAGCUUCUCAAUGAACACGCGCGUCGUGUUAUACUCUAGCUCUUCUGUGUCCCAGAAGCUUCACCCCUCUCUGACCCCGACAUCAAACUCAACAGCUGCUAAGAUGGAGCUCCACACAGAUCCACCUCGACACGGGGUCGUGACCCAUGGUCGUGACCUUAGGGAGUUUACGACUUCUUCGUCAUGAGAAAACCCUGCCAACAUUCGGAGCAAAGGGGCACAAUAACAGACUUGUUGGUAGAGAGGCUGGCAAAACCCUAGUAUUCUACUCCCGUUUUCUCUCAAAUAUGAAAGAUAACAUUUUAUACUAGUGAACAUGUUAUUAGGUGUGAAUUUGUAAAAAUGUUCUACACAAAAUAGUUUUUCUCAAAAUUGAGGUGGACCGGAUAUGUUUCAAUAAGUAACGGGCGGCCAAUCAUCUCUAGAGGGGAUCUCUCAAGGUCCAUUUGCUGCUAUUUUGUGGUCCAAUGGUUCCACUUGCUGAGGUCAGACUCUAGGAGAGAGUAGGGCUGCUCGAUUAUGGGAAAAAUCAUAAUCAUAAUCAUAAUUAUGGGGGUCAAUAUUGAAUUUAUCGAUUUAUUUUUGAGUUUGAAAACAUGUUUUUUUUUUUAUUGUUUUUGGAUGUCUCUCCUAAAAACACUUUGUAACUGAG